GACGAACGCUGGCGGCGUGCCUAAUACAUGCAAGUCGAGCGCAGGAAGCCGUGUGAACCCUUCGGGGGGACGACGGUGGAAUGAGCGGCGGACGGGUGAGUAACACGUAAAGAACCUGCCCAUAGGUCUGGGAUAACCACGAGAAAUCGGGGCUAAUACCGGAUGUGUCAUCGGACCGCAUGGUCCGCUGAUGAAAGGCGCUCCGGCGUCGCCCAUGGAUGGCUUUGCGGUGCAUUAGCUAGUUGGUGGGGUAACGGCCCACCAAGGCGACGAUGCAGAGCCGGCCUGGGAGGGUGAUCGGCCACACUGGGACUGAGACACGGCCCAGACUCCUACGGGAGGCAGCAGUAGGGAAUCUUCCACAAUGGACGAAAGUCUGAUGGAGCAACGCCGCGUGAACGAUGAAGGCUUUCGGGUCGUAAAGUUCUGUUGUAAGGGAAGAACAAGUGCCGCAGGCAAUGGCGGCACCUUGACGGUACCUUGCGAGAAAGCCACGGCUAACUACGUGCCAGCAGCCGCCGUAACAC
rnacentral:rRNA from 1 species